rnacentral:rRNA from 1 species
GGUUCCGUUGUGAAAGGCGCUGUAAGGCGCCACUAAAAGAUGAGGGUGCGGAACAUUAGUUAGUUGGUGAGGUAAUGGCCCACCAAGACUAUGAUGUUUAGCCGGGUCGAGAGACUGAACGGCCACAUUGGGACUGAGAUACGGCCCAAACUCCUACGGGAGGCAGCAGUAGGGAAUAUUCCACAAUGAGCGAAAGCUUGAUGGAGCGACACAGCGUGCACGAUGAAGGUCUUCGGAUUGUAAAGUGCUGUUAUAAGGGAAGAACAUUUGCAAUAGGAAAUGAUUGCAGACUGACGGUAC